rnacentral:rRNA from 1 species
CCUACGGGAGGCAGCAGUAGGGAAUCUUCCACAAUGGGCGAAAGCCUGAUGGAGCAACGCCGCGUGGGUGAAGAAGGUCUUCGGAUCGUAAAACCCUGUUGUUAGAGAAGAAAGUGCGUGAGAGUAACUGUUCACGUUUCGACGGUAUCUAACCAGAAAGCCACGGCUAACUACGUGCCAGCAGCCGCGGUAAUACGUAGGUGGCAAGCGUUAUCCGGAUUUAUUGGGCGUAAAGGGAACGCAGACGGUCUUUUAAGUCUGAUGUGAAAGCCUUCGGCUUAACCGGAGUAGUGCAUUGGAAACUGUGAGACUGGAGUGCAGAAGAGGAGAGUGGAACUCCAUGUGUAGCGGUGAAAUGCGUAGAUAUAUGGAAGAACACCAGUGGCGAAAGCGGCUCUCUGGUCUGUAACUGACGCUGAGGUUCGAAAGCGUGGGUAGCAAACAGGAUUAGAUACCCUGGUAGUC